rnacentral:ncRNA from 1 species
ACACUGACCGGAUCAGCGUGUGCUCUCCUUGGCCGACAGGUCCGGGAAACCCGUUGAACCCCGGUCGUGCUAGGGAUAGGGAAUUGCAAUUAUUUCCCUUGAACGAGGAAUUCCCAGUAAGCGCGAGUCAUUAGCUCGCGUUGAUUACGUCCCUGCCCUUUGUACACACCGCCCGUCGCUACUACCGAUUGAAUGGUUUAGUGAGGUCCUCCGAUUGGACCCGGUCCGGGCGGCGACGUCCGAGCCGGCGUCCGAGAAGACGAUCUAACUUGAUCAUUUAGAGGAAGUAAAAGUCGUAACAAGGUUUCCGUAGGUGAACCUGCGGAAGGAUCAUUA